AUUGAACGCUGGCGGCAGGCCUAACACAUGCAAGUCGAGCGGUAACAGGAGAAAGCUUGCUUUCUUGCUGACGAGCGGCGGACGGGUGAGUAAUGUAUGGGGAUCUGCCCGAUAGAGGGGGAUAACUACUGGAAACGGUGGCUAAUACCGCAUGACGUCUACGGACCAAAGCAGGGGCUCUUCGGACCUUGCGCUAUCGGAUGAACCCAUAUGGGAUUAGCUAGUAGGUGAGGUAAUGGCUCACCUAGGCGACGAUCUCUAGCUGGUCUGAGAGGAUGAUCAGCCACACUGGGACUGAGACACGGCCCAGACUCCUACGGGAGGCAGCAGUGGGGAAUAUUGCACAAUGGGCGCAAGCCUGAUGCAGCCCAUGCCGCGUGUAUGGAAAGAAGGCCUUUAGGGGUUGUUAAAGUACUUUCAGCGGGGAGGAAGGUGUUAAGAUUAAUACUCUUAGCAAUUGACGUUACCCGCAGAAGAAGCACCGGC
rnacentral:rRNA from 1 species